CUACGGGGGGCAGCAGUGAGGAAUAUUGGUCAAUGGACGCAAGUCUGAACCAGCCAUCCCGCGUGCAGGAUGACGGCCCUAUGGGUUGUAAACUGCUUUUCUAUACCAAGAAAGGUUGCUACGUGUAGCAAAUUGACGGUAGUAUAGGAAUAAGCAUCGGCUAACUCCGUGCCAGCAGCCGCGAUAAUACGGAGGAUGCAAGCGUUAUCCGGAUUCAUUGGGUUUAAAGGGUGCGCAGGUGGUCUUGUAAAUCAGUGGUGAAAUCUUGCCGCUUAACGGUAAAACUGCCAUUGAUACUGCAGGACUUGAAUAUGGUUGAGGUAGGCGGAAUGUGUUGUGUAGCGGUGAAAUGCAUAGAUAUGACACAGAACGCCGAUUGCGAAGGCAGCUUACUAAGCCAUUAUUGACGCUGAGGCACGAAAGCGUGGGGAGCGAACAGGAUUAGAUACCCUCGUAGUC
rnacentral:rRNA from 1 species